CUGUAUUAGUGGGGGUGGGUGAAUGAUCCCUCUUGUGCAGAGUCUUUAAAGCACUUCAGGAUGAAAAGCACCACAUAAAUAUAAGUUAUUAGAAGGCAUCUCCGAGCUCAAUGAACGAUGGAGAAUAAUGAUUCUGUCUGAUUUUCUCCACACCGGCCAGUAGCUUGCAAACAGCUCAGUGGGCAGAAUGCCACGAGCCAUCGUCUGGCACCAAAUUCGAGAUGAAGGGUGCAAAGCACCACAUCAGUGAAUGACUUCGCUUCGGCCAAACAACACUGCGAUUUUCAUCUAGUCCACGAUUAACCUGUUCCACGGUGGGACAUGGGACAUGUCUGAAAUACUAUAUCUGCCUGCCUCUAGCCCAAGGUUCCUUUGUGAGAUUGGACUUCACCAUGCGUGAGCAGAUGCUUCCCGGAAGAGGUUUAUUCCCCCACUGCCAUAAAAUUCCAUCCUGUUUGGUUUCUGAGAGCAGAACCAGCCUGGUGAAAUGAACAGCAACCAUCAGCGUGACAGCUGCUGAAACCAUCCACCCUGUUAGUAUAACCCCGAUGCACAGGCAGCAGCAUGUAUGCAGCCAACCCGACCCAUUGGGGCGAUUUAUGAAUAUAACCACAGCAAGGAAUGAAAUCACCCAUCAUCCUUCAGGGUUUCUGUGCGAACUGUAAAAGAGAUAUUUUAAAGCAAUUUUUUUCAUAUUUCAAUUGUAAUAACUCAAUAUCCAGAAGACAGACUUAAAAAAAUCUACCGGUUUCAAGGUGGGUUAACAAUGUGCAAAGCACAUGCCCG